CCUGUUGAUGAUGAUGAACUGGUAUCAUUCAUUCUUUCCGGUCUUGAUUCAGAUUACAACCCCAUUUUUUCCUCUGUUUUGAGCCGGACAGAUCCCAUCUCUAUUGGUGAUCUCUUCUCUCAACUCCUGACCUAUGAGU